rnacentral:rRNA from 1 species
CCAUGCCGUAAACGUUGGGCACUAGGUGUGGGGGACAUUCCACGUUUUCCGCGCCGUAGCUAACGCAUUAAGUGCCCCGCCUGGGGAGUACGGCCGCAAGGCUAAAACUCAAAGGAAUUGACGGGGGCCCGCACAAGCGGCGGAGCAUGCGGAUUAAUUCGAUGCAACGCGAAGAACCUUACCAAGGCUUGACAUGAACUGGAAAUACCUGGAAACAGGUGCCCCGCUUGCGGUCGGUUUACAGGUGGUGCAUGGUUGU